UUCACCAACAACCAUGAUAUAUUGUUUAUACUGUUUACCUAACAACAUCCCUUCAACACUAUAUCUUCUCUUCUAGAGGCAAUGGUCUGUAUUUAGCUGUUGAUGAAAAAGGAAAGUCAUGAGGAUAUGCGCCCUUUCCCAUCAUUGAAGGUGAUAGAAUAAGGGAGAGAACGAAAAAUGGCAGAAAAGAUUAGUUGUUGGUAAAGCGGGAAAGGAUAGUGACAUAUUUAAAAUGGUGAAAAUGAUUAUUCAGCAUCAGUAUGAUCCAAUCAUACGUUUCGGCUUCAGCAAAGUGGAAUGCGA
rnacentral:lncRNA from 1 species